AGCCCUUCCGUGACACAUCCCUUCCCUUGGCCCUUCCCGCACACACGCGCGACUGCUGGUCGGUGAAGCUCGGUGUGAUGUGAUAGAGCGGGGGCGGCGACAUUGGUUUCGUGCUCCCUCCCACUUGCUCCCGCUGCCGCUUCCCGCCGUUCAUCGUUUGUGUUCUGUCUUCGUCGUUCAUGUGCGCCCCCGCGCGCUUUUUUCUUCUCUGACUCAGCGCGACUGAUCAUCUCUUGUUCUCCGUACAAAGGCAAGGUAGGCAAUCCACUGGCGCGAGUGCACGCCAGUCCUCGUCCCCUCCCCCCCUUCAUCUCCCGCGUCUCUCCCUCUCGGUAAGCGAUGGAGUUGUCGUUUCCAGACAAGUACUAUGAGGUCGCCAAGUACUUUGACUACUACAUUGGCAACCUGGAGGAGAGUCCUCUGCUAUCGGAUGCGCAACGGCUAAUGUUCUAUGCGCUGCGCCAGCAAGCCGAUCACGGCCAGUGCACCACUGCGGCACCAUCUUUCUGGUGCUCGAGGGAGCGCCACAAGCAUCAGGCAUGGAAGCAGCUCGGGCGCAUGUCUAAUUUCGAAGCGAUGGUGUUCUUUGUCCAACAGUUUGAGCAGCUCCUGACGCAGUUGGAGAACUCGACUGGGCAGCCCGCGCCCACGUCAGGGGCCGCCGCUCGCGCCGGCGGUGUCGAUUGGCCGUCGCGUCUGCGAGAAAUGAAAUCAAAGACGGCACCGAACCCUGGCAACUCGCCGCACAGCAGCGAGGCUUUGGCCAGCGGCGGCGCUCGCGCCAAUAACGGCAUUCUCGCUGUCCGCCAAGGGCCUUCGCCCGCCACCGCUGGCGAAGAGGCGUGCCGGGAAUCGCCGUCGUCAAAGCUCAGCGCUGCGGAGAUGGCCGACUGGGAUGCAGAUGUUGUCUCUCACUCGGGGGCCACGGUAGAGAACAUACGCUACCUUGCCACUGAGCUCAUGCGUGCGCGGCAUGCGUUUCGGCAACUGUUGGAGAAAAGUGCGCCAAGCCACGCCGAGCAAAACGGCACCGGCGCCUCCACCAACGGCCCUCCAAUUCGCGCGGGACGCACGUGCCUCACUCCCUCUGGUGCCGCCCCCGCAGCUCCCGGGCCACCGUUGAAGCCGAUUUGGUGCAGUAACGAUAGCGCCGCUCGUGUACCGAUUGUACCGCCGCCGGUGCGCCCGUCAGCACGAUCGAUGACAGAGGCCGCCGUGCGUGACUCAUGCGGGGCGCCGCAAUCGAAAAAGAUGCCCGUUGCCACCGACAGACCAGUCAGCCCAAGCGCCUUGUCAACGUGGUUCAACUGGUAGAUGGACGGCAAUGCCGCGUAGGGAGACUUGCUUGGCCAGCAAAUCAUGGGCGCAGCGUUUGCGCGAACAAGAGCCUCGUUUGCCCGCCGUUGUAGUGCAUCACCGCAGCUGCACCUUUGGCCCCAGCUCUCUCUUUACCAGCAUCUUUUCUUUUUUUGUUGUUGUUUCGCAUUGAAGGUGAUACGUGGGGUUUUGUUGUUCCGCUUCGACGCGAUGCUUCAGUUCACGCACGUGUGCAUCUGCGAGUGCCCUGUGUCUGACCAUUCUUGCCUUCGGUGGUCCCCACCGCACAACGCCCCAUCUGCCCAGCGAGAAGAACAGCGGGACCAUGAUGGGAUGGGUAAGAGCGCGAGUCGAGGGCACAUCUACGCAAGCACGUCUCUUUCACUAACCGGCUUUUGGCUCCACAUUCGAAUGCGUGCUGUGCCUUGGCGUGCUCUUGUCGACGCUUUCUCCUCCCUCUCGCUCUUGCCUCUCAG
rnacentral:misc_RNA from 1 species